GCAGAAUGGCUUCGGAAAGGUGAUAGAAAAUUCACGCGCAAGGUAUUGUUUGAAGUGAUCCGUUUUACCGACUUCUAAGUGUGAAGAGGUGGACAGCCUGGCGAGCGAGAUUUGGAGGAGGGGUUCGUUCUCUUCCUGCAGAAAAUAAAAACAUUCCCAGCUGCACCAAGAAAAACUUUGACAUUUGAAGCUU